rnacentral:lncRNA from 1 species
UUGAAAUUUAAGUAUUUAUUUUAAUAUUCUCUCUCCUAAUAUUCUCUCUCUUCUUGCGCGCAGCACUCUCUUUCUCUCCCCAAAUCUCUCCACCCUUCUUGUUCUUCUUCUUCUUCUUUUUUCUUCUUCUCUGUUCUAUUCAAUAGAGAAAGAAAAAGAGAGAGAGAAAGAAAGAAACCAACCAACCAACACAAAGAGAUUUAGUAUUUUUCGAUCACAUUGGAUCGAAAAUUUACAAUCUUUAUUAUUCGUUUAUUCUUUUUUAUGUCUUACGUUUGAUUAAAAAGAAAAAAAAAAAAAACAACAACAACAAAAGACAAGAAGAUCGAUCGGCGUUAUUCAAGAAGCUAGAUUUUUUUUUUAUUAUUCAGCUUUAAUAACGAAAAGGUAUGUUAAUCUCUUAAUUACACUAUUGUUUUAAUUUGAUGAAUUUAUUUAUAUUAAUAAAGGGUAUUGAAUUUUGAUUGAAAUUAUUGUGUUUUUUUUUUUUUUAAUUUGAAAACUAGGGUUUUGAGAUUGAAUUAGGGUUGUUUAUGAGUCGAUUUGAAUUGGGUAUUUGUUUAAAUUUGUGGGUUUUCUUGUUUGACAAGUUAUAUUAAGUUUUAGAAGGUAUGGUUGUUUCUUUGAUUGCAUUAUGUUGGAAUUGAGUUUCUAGGGUUUGUGGGGAGGGUUUUUUUGAAUUUGAUUGUUUGAUAUUAAUAGGUUGUGAUAAUUUUGUUUAAAUAGUUUUGUAUUGUUUAUUAACAGGGAUUAUUAUUACCAGCUUUUGAUUGGGAGUGUUUAGAUGGGAUGAGUUUGGAAACCAGCGGAGAUUUUAAUUUGUGGAUGUAGAGUGCAGACCUUGGAUACGUAAUGUGGGGAAUGCGAUUGGAAUCAAGAUAUAAGGAUGUUUAUUCGCUAAUACAUUGAGAUUUUGGUGUGACGAUUUUGUUUCAGAGUUAGCUUUGGUGUGUAUAAGAUGACAUUGAAUUAUUCACAUCGGACAUUUUUUCCUGUCAAUCCAUCCGAGGAAAAUUUGGUCUCCUCGGUUCUGGACAGGUAUGUGAN